rnacentral:SRP_RNA from 10 species
GCCGGGCACGUUGGUACUCGUCUAUAGCCCCAGGUACUCAGGAGGCUCUGAGGCAGAAGGGUCGCUUGAGUCCAGGAGAUCUGGGUUGUAGUGUGCCAGGCUGAUAGGAUGUCCACAUUAAGUUCAGCAUCAGUAUGAUGAUCUCCAGGGAGCAGGGGACCACCUGGUUGCCUAAAGAGGUGUGAACUGGCCCAGGUUGGAAAUAGAGCAGAUCCAAACUCCCACGUGCUGAUCAGUAGUGGAAUUGUGCCUGUGAGAGGCUGGGCGCCAUGGCUCACACCUGUAAUCCCAGCACUUUG